UCGGGUAUGGUGUAACGGCUAACAUUGCCGCCUCUCAUGAUUUAUCCAGAUCGCGGCAGCUCGGGGUUCGAUUCCCCGUAUCCGAA